GCGGAAGCCCUGCACUCCACGGACAGCGGCAGCGCACGAAACCGCAGCUCACGGACAUCCUGGACGUCGGGCAUCGCCGUGCCGAGGUGAGGGUCGCGAGUUCGAGUCUCGUCAUCCGCU
rnacentral:tRNA from 1 species